rnacentral:rRNA from 1 species
AUUGAACGCUGGCGGCGGGCUUAACACAUGCAAGUCGAACGAGUGGCGGACGGGUGAGUAAUGCUUGGGAAUCGAGCUUAUGGAGGGGGAAAACUACGGGAAACUGUAGCUAAUACCGCGUACCACAGGAUGAGCCCAAGUGGGUUUAGGUAGUUGGUGGGGUAAAGGCUCACCAAGCCGACGAGCUCUAGCUGGUCUGAGAGGAUGACCAGCCACACUGGGACUGAGACACGGCCCAGACUCCUACGGGAGGCAGCAGUGGGGAAUAUUGCGCAAUGGGGGCAACCUGACGCAGCCAUGCCGCGUGAGUGAAGAAGGCCUUCGGGUUGUAAAGUUCUUUCGGUAGCGAGGCGUUAACUACAGAAGAAGCACCGGCUAACUCCGUGCCAGCAGCCGCGGUAAUUC